ACGAAGGGGGCUAGCGUUGUUCGGAAUGACUGGGCGUAAAGGGUGCGUAGGCGGUUUGAUAAGUUUGGUGUGAAAGUCCUGGGCUCAACCUGGGGAUUGCACUGGAAACUAUUAGACUAGAGAUCGAGAGAGGAAAAUGGAAUUGCGAGUGUAGAGGUGAAAUUCGUAGAUAUUCGCAAGAACACCGGUGGCGAAGGCGGUUUUCUGGCUCGAUACUGACGCUAAGGCACGAAAGCGUGGGGAGCAAACAGG
rnacentral:rRNA from 1 species